GAAUUUUCCGCAAUGGGCGAAAGCCUGACGGAGCAAUACCGCGUGAGGGAUGACGGCCUAUGGGUUGUAAACCUCUUUUUUCAGGGAGGAAUAAAUGACGUGUACCUGAAGAAUAAGCAUCGGCUAACUCCGUGCCAGCAGCCGCGGUAAGACGGAGGAUGCAAGUGUUAUCCGGAAUCACUGGGCGUAAAGCGUCUGUAGGUGGUCAAAUAAGUCAACUGUUAAAUCUUGAGGCUCAACCUCAAAAUCGCAGUCGAAACUAUUAGACUAGAGUAUAGUAGGGGUAAAGGGAAUUUCCAGUGGAGCGGUGAAAUGCGUAGAGAUUGGAAGGAACACCGAUGGCGAAGGCACUUUACUGGGCUAUUACUAACACUCAGAGACGAAAGCUAGGGUAGCAAAUGGGAUUAGAUACCCCAGUAGUC
rnacentral:rRNA from 1 species